rnacentral:rRNA from 1 species
ACGGGUGAGUAACGCGUGGGAACGUACCCUUAUCUUCGGAAUAGCUCUGGGAAACUGGAAGUAAUACCGAAUGUGCCCUUAGGGGGAAAGAUUUAUCGGAUAAGGAUAGGCCCGCGUUGGAUUAGCUAGUUGGUGGGGUAAAGGCCUACCAAGGCGACGAUCCAUAGCUGGUCUGAGAGGAUGAUCAGCCACAUUGGGACUGAGACACGGCCCAAACUCCUACGGGAGGCAGCAGUGGGGAAUAUUGGACAAUGGGCGCAAGCCUGAUCCAGCCAUGCCGCGUGAGUGAUGAAGGCCUUAGGGUUGUAAAGCUCUUUCACCGGAGAAGAUAAUGACGGUAUCCGGAGAAGAAGCCCCGGCUAACUUCGUGCCAGCAGCCGCGGUAAUACGAAGGGGGCUAGCGUUGUUCGGAAUUACUGGGCGUAAAGCGCACGUAGGCGGACAUUUAAGUCAGAGGUGAAAUCCCGGAGCUCAACUUCGGAACUGCCUUUGAUACUGGGUGUCUUGAGUAUGGAAGAGGUUAGUGGAAUUGCGAGUGUAGAGGUGAAAUUCGUAGA